GAUGAACGCUGGCGGCGUGCCUAAUACAUGCAAGUCGAGCGAACGGACGAGAAGCUUGCUUCUCUGAUGUUAGCGGCGGACGGGUGAGUAACACGUGGAUAACCUACCAAUAAGACUGGGAUAACUUCGGGAAACCGUAGCUAAUACCGGAUAAUAUUUUGAACCGCAUGGUUCAAAAGUGAAAGACGGUCUUGCUGUCACUUAUAGAUGGAUCCGCGCUGCAUUAGCUAGUUGGUAAGGUAACGGCUUACCAAGGCAACGAUGCAUAGCCGACCUGAGAGGGUGAUCGGCCACACUGGAACUGAGACACGGUCCAGACUCCUACGGGAGGCAGCAGUAGGGAAUCUUCCGCAAUGGGCGAAAGCCUGACGGAGCAACGCCGCGUGAGUGAUGAAGGUCUUCGGAUCGUAAAACUCUGUUAUUAGGGAAGAACAUAUGUGUAAGUAACUGUGCACAUCUUGACGGUACCUAAUCAGAAAGCCACGGCUAACUACGUG
rnacentral:rRNA from 1 species